GAAGAACGCUGACAGAAUGCUUAACACAUGCAAGUCUUUGGCGAAGCUGUGCUCGCACAGCCUAGCCAAGGCGGACGGGUGAGUAACGCGUAAGGAACUUGCCCUGCAGUCAGGGAUAACAGACGGAAACGACUGAUAAGACCUGGUAAAGUCAGGCGGACUCAUGUCCAGCCUGAUGAAAAGAGAUGCUGCAGGAGAGCCUUGCGUCCUAUUAGCUUGUUGGUGGGGUAACGGCCCACCAAGGCGAUGAUAGGUAGCCGGCCUGAGAGGGUGGACGGCCACAAGGGGACUGAGAUACGGCCCUUACUCCUACGGGAGGCAGCAGUGGGGAAUAUUGGACAAUGGGGGCAACCCUGAUCCAGCAAUUCUGUGUGCACGAUGAAGGUUUUCGGAUUGUAAAGUGCUUUCAGCAGGGAAGAAAAAAAUGACGGUACCUGCAGAAGAAGCGACGGCUAAAUACGUG
rnacentral:rRNA from 1 species